rnacentral:rRNA from 1 species
UACGGGGGGGCAGCAGCUGUUCGGUCGAAUUUACUGGGCGUAAAGGGCUCGUAGGCGGCCAACUAAGUCCGACGUGAAAUCCCCAGGCUUAACCUGGGAACUGCGUCGGAUACUGGAUGGCUUGAAUUCGGGAGAGGGAUGCAGAAUUCCAGGUGUAGCGGUGAAAUGCGUAGAUAUCUGGAGGAAUACCGGUGGCGAAGGCGGCAUCCUGGACCCGACAUUGACGCUGAGGCGCGAAAGC